GACGAACGCUGGCGGCGUGCUUAACACAUGCGAGUCGAACGGAAAGGCCCUGCUUUUGUGGGGUGCUCGAGUGGCGAACGGGUGAGUAACACGUGAGUAACCUGCCCUUGACUUUGGGAUAACUUCAGGAAACUGGGGCUAAUACCGGAUAGGAGCUCCUGCUGCAUGGUGGGGGUUGGAAAGUUUCGGCGGUUGGGGAUGGACUCGCGGCUUAUCAGCUUGUUGGUGGGGUAGUGGCUUACCAAGGCUUUGACGGGUAGCCGGCCUGAGAGGGUGACCGGCCACAUUGGGACUGAGAUACGGCCCAGACUCCUACGGGAGGCAGCAGGGGGGAAUAUUGCACAAUGGGCGGAAGCCAGAUGCAGCAACGCCGCGUGCGGGAUGACGGCCUUCGGGUUGUAAACCGCUUUCGCCUGUGACGAAGCGUGAGUGACGGUAAUGGGUAAAGAAGCACCGGCUAACUACGUG
rnacentral:rRNA from 1 species